UAGCCUACGGGAGGCAGCAGUGAGGAAUAUUGGUCAAUGGACGCAAGUCUGAACCAGCCAUGCCGCGUGCAGGAUGACGGCUCUAUGAGUUGUAACCUGCUUUUGUACGAGGGUAAACCCCGAUACAUGUAUCGGGUUGAAAGUAUCGUACGAAUAAGGAUCGGCUAACUCCGUGCCAGCAGCCGCGGUAAUACGGAGGAUCCGAGCGUUAUCCGGAUUUUUUGGGUUUAAAGGGUGCGUAGGCUGUUUGAUAAGUUAGGGGUGAAAU
rnacentral:rRNA from 1 species